rnacentral:snoRNA from 1 species
AAGACCACACUUUCAGGAUCAUCUCUAUAGUUCAUCACUAGAGAAGUUUCUCUGAUCGUAUAGACCACCCAAAAUCACAGGAGGAACCUGAGCGUCCUCUCCUGAGUGUGAAGCCAGUACUAGGUGCUACCUUUGCAUUUGCAUUUUGUCAUGGAUGAUGGUUCUUCUUUUCACUUGGUAAGUGAGAGGGAAAGGAUGCAGUGAGAGUGG